rnacentral:lncRNA from 1 species
UGAUUUCCACGUACAGUAACUAUUCAAGAAAGUUAUCAUCUCCUGCAGUAUGGCAAUAUAUUCAACCAAUCAUCCUAACGAAGUCUAUUAAUUAGAUUUCCAAACUUCGAAACAGAGUGAAUAAAAGGAGAGAAAGAACAGAGUGAAUAAAAGGAUUUAAAAAUCAUCUUGAAUAAUACCAAUAAAAGCACAACAAUGCUCAUAGAGUACAUUCCCAGUAAAAGUAAGGUUAGGCCAGAAAUUUUUAGUUCCUUAAGGUCUCCCCUGGGUGUAUUGCUAUUGAGCAAUACAUUUGGUAUACGCAAUCAUGCAGACCUAUUGAGCAAACCAAAGCGUGUAUUGCUAAUCUACUACUGUCAGCAGAAACAUUCGUAACAGCGGAAAAUAGAAAUACCAAUUUCAACCAACAAACACUAAGUAAAUGGCUCACUUAGAUCAUAUCUAAGACGCUCAACCAAUCAAAAUAUGAGAACUGCUCUCUGUGAUCAAUGAAGAUAACCACAUUGCAAGAAAAUAUUCCACCAAUCACAGGCCUACAAAUAUGGGUCUUCUUUUACUUUCCUUUGCCUCCAUUUUUACCACUUAGUAGUCACUACAAUAAGCACUACCACGACGAACGUAUUCGGCAAACAACAAUUAAAGCAACUUAGAUCAUAAAACAUCAAACAUUAACACAAAGCAGUUAUAAAUCAUAGGCAAACCCAUCAAAAUGAAGUCACGCUAAACCUAAAAAGAAACCUAAUAAAUCGCAUCCAAAUCAAGAUUCCCAGCAUGCGAAGGGAUGAAAUCAACCGUCCGAUGGAAAGUUGUUAAUCCAAAAAGCAAAGAAACAACAACCGAUGAAACUUGUUGAACAAAAAUACAAGAUCGACUUGAAAUCGAGAGGUAAAAGAGAAUUUCAAGAACCGAUGGAUAAUUCAUGGCACUUAGCGCGCCAACCUAAAUGCAAUAAAAAAAAUUAAUUUAGAAAAAAUACGGGUUGUUCUUAACUAAAAUAUUAAAAAAAAUAUAUUAAUUUAGCAUUUUGAUAAAUAUUAAAAAUAUUUAGCAAAAAAUAUUUUGAUAAAUAUUAAUUUCUGGCAAAACUUGGCUUCGACUAACUAGAAAACAAAAUGACAAAAGACAUUUGAUGGCUCAAAUCAACAGUGCGUUCGUAAGAUUGAUAAAAAUUCGAACUACCGGAGAGAGAAAAAUUGAAAAGUUAAUAAGAAAGAAAAGGACAAAUGAAAGGCAAAGGGAAGGGACAGUGGUUGAACAAAAAGGAAAUCACACUGCGAGCAAGGCUCCUAACCGCAUGAUUGUAAUGUAGGCCAUAAAAGAAAUCACACUGUAAUGAACAAAGUUGCCCAAGCCUGGAAGAGGAAAACUUAUACCUGCCACUGGGUGGACUAAGCUGGAAGAGCGGGGAUCGAAUGACACAUGGUGCAUGAGAUAUCACAACACAUGGUUGCCCUGCUGUUUCCUACUUUAGUUCCAUUCCCACUACUCCGAUCAUUCUGCAAAACACAAUGAUUUCCACAUACAGUAACUAUUCCCACAUACUGCUGCCUGCCUGAGGCGCGCAGUAUGGGAAUAUAUUCAACCAAUCAUCCUAACGAAGUCUAUUAAUUAGAUUUCCAAACUUCGAAAUUAAUUCCUAAACAAGUUACUGAAGGAUUGUUAUACUAAAGGAGAGAAAGAACAUAGUGAAUAAAAGGAUUUAAAAAUCAUCUUGAAUAAUACCAAUAAAAGCACAACAAUGCUCAUAGAGUACACUCCCAGUAAAAAGUAAGGUUAGGCCAGAAAGAAAAAGGUUGGCAAGCCCCACAAUAUCCAGAAAUUUUUAGUUCCUUAAGGUCUCCCCUGGGUAUAUAUAGCAUUGCUACUACGCAUCAAAAGCUCGGCACAUGUCUACUACACUUCAUUCGGUAUACGCAAUCAUGCAGACCUAUUAUUGAGCAAACCAAAGCGUGUAUUGCUAAUCUACUACUGUCAGCAGAAACAUUCGUAACAGCGGAAAAUAGAAAUACCAAUUUCAACCAACACUAAGUAAUGGCUCACUUAGAUCAUAUCUAAGACGCUCAACCAAUCAAAAUGUGAGAACUUCUCUCUGUGAUCAAUGAAGAUAACCACAUUGCAAGAAAAUAUUCCACCAAUCACAGGCCUACGAAUAUGGGUCUUCUUUUACUUUCCCUUUGCCUCCAUUUUUACCACUUAGUAGUCACUACAAUAAGCACUACCACGACGAACGUAUUCGGCAAACAACAAUUAAAGCAACUUAGAUCAUAAUACAUCAAACAUUAACACAACGCAGUUAUAAAUCAUAGGCAAACCCAUCAAAAUGAAGUCAUGCUAAACCUAAAAAGAGACCUAAUAAAUCGCAUCCAAAUCAAGAUUCCCAGCAUGCGAAGGGAUGAAAUCAACCGUCCGAUGGAAAGUUGUUAAUCCAAAAAGCAAAGAAACAACAACCGAUGAAACUUGUUGAACAAAAAUACAAGAUCGACUUGAAAUCGAGAGGUAAAAGAGAAUUUCAAGAACCGAUGGAUAAUUCAUGGCACAAAUAUAGGAGAUCUACUUGUAAUCAUAAGGUAAAUGAAUCCAGAACCAAUGAAGAGUCCCUAACCUAAAAAAUCAAGGAACAAUGGAUAGUUCUUAACCCAAAAAUUGGAGAUCUACUUGUAUUCGUAAGGUACAAGAAUCAAGAACCGAUGAAAUAGAAGAUCUGCUUGUGAUCGUAAGGCAAAAGAAUCACGACUGAUGAGAAGUCCUUAACCCAAACAAAUAUAAGAUCUACUUGAAAUCGAAUGGCAAAGAAUCAAGAACCGAUGGAUGGUUCCUAACACAAAAGAAUAGAAGAUCUACUUGAAAUCGAAUAGUAAAAGAAUCCAGAAUCGAUGAGAAGCCCAUAACCCACAAAUAGAAGAAUUACUUGAAAUCGAAUAGUAAAAGAACCGAGAACCGAUGAAACCCAACAAUAGAAGAUCCACGUGAAAUCGAAAGGUAAAAGAAUCAAGGCCGAUGAGAAGUUUUCAACCCAAAAAAUCGAAGAUCUGCUUGAAUUCGAUAGGUAACAGAAUCAAGAACCGAUGAAAAUUCCUUAACCCAAAAAUAGAAGAUCUACUUGAAAUCGAAAGGUGGAAGAAUCAAGAACCGGUGCAGCAGAAAGAACUAGUAGAUCGAAACCGAGAUAAAACGAAAUGCCAUCUUCCAAUCGUUACCCGC